UACAGAGGGCCCAAGCGUUGUUCGGAUUCAUUGGGCGUAAAGGGCGCGUAGGCGGCGCGGUAAGUCGGGUGUGAAAUCUCGGGGCUUAACUCCGAAACUGCAUUCGAUACUGCCGUGCUUGAGGACUGGAGAGGAGACUGGAAUUUACGGUGUAGCGGUGAAAUGCGUAGAUAUCGUAAGGAAGACCAGUGGCGAAGGCGGGUCUCUGGACAGUUCCUGACGCUGAGGCACGAAGGUCAGGGGAGCAAACGGG
rnacentral:rRNA from 1 species